rnacentral:rRNA from 1 species
UACAGAGGUCGCGAGCGUUAAUCGGAUUUACUGGGCGGAAAGCGUGUGUAGGUGGUUGUGCAAGUCGGUUGUGAAAUCCCCGGGCUCAACCUGGGAACUGCUUCCGAGACUGUGCGACUAGAGAUCGGUAGAGGGCGGUGGAAUUUCCGGUGUAGCGGUGAAAUGCGUAGAUAUCGGAAGGAACACCAAUGGCGAAGGCAGCCGCCUGGGCCUGAACUGACACUGAGAGACGAAAGCUAGGGGAGCGAAUGGG